rnacentral:misc_RNA from 1 species
GAAAGAUUGCUAAUUCUGCAGCCACACAAUUGGGCUCUAAGGAGAGACCAUGGAAUGAUGUUGUACUAUAGUAGGGAGUAUGAAGAGGCAGUUCAGGAGCUUAGCAUUUGCAUGGCCUUUGCCCCAGAAGAAGAAGCAGAGGUGUUGGAACCAUUUGUUGAGAAGCUACACUUGUUGCGAGUCGAAUCGUCUUGGAAGUCUCAGGGAAAGAAAGGCCAUUUAACUGUUUCUUGAACUGUUUCUGGUUUGUAGAGCCAUUGAGUUUGUAUUAAAGAGCACCACAACCAGUAGAACUUUAGCUGCAAUAUCUUUUUUUUUUUUGGGGGG